CCUACGGGUGGCAGCAGUGAGGAAUAUUGGUCAAUGGGCGGGAGCCUGAACCAGCCAAGCCGCGUGAGGGAAGAAGGUACAGCGUAUCGUAAACCUCUUUUGUCAGGGAACAAAGGCGGGGACUAGUCCCCGGAUGAGGGUACCUGAAGAAAAAGCAUCGGCUAACUCCGUGCCAGCAGCCGCGGUAAUACGGAGGAUGCGAGCGGUAUCCGGAUUUAUUGGGUUUAAAGGGUGCGCAGGCGGCCUGUUAAGUCAGCGGGAAAAGCCCGGGGCUCAACCCCGGCGAGCCGUUGAAACUGGCGGGCUGGAGUUGGAGAGAAGUACGCAGAAUGCGCGGUGUAGCGGUGAAAUGCUUAGAUAUCGCGCAGAACCCCGAUUGCGAAGGCAGCGUACCGGCUCCACACUGACGCUGAGGCACGAAAGCGUGGGUAUCGAACAGGAUUAGAUACCCCAGUAGUC
rnacentral:rRNA from 1 species